AGCGAACGUUUGCGGCGGGCCUAACACAUGCAAGUCGAACGCACUAGCAAUAGUGAGUGGCGCACGGGUGCGUAACACGUGGGUAAUCAACCCUUCAGCUUGGGAUAACGACUUGAAAGGGUCGCUAAUACCGGAUACGGCGCGGGAGGCUUCGGCUUCUCACGAGAAAGCCUCGCAAGGGGCACUGAAGGACGAGCCUGCGGCCCAUCAGCUAGUUGGUGAGGUAAGAGCUCACCAAGGCGAAGACGGGUAGCUGGUCUGAGAGGAUGAUCAGCCACACUGGAACUGAGACACGGUCCAGACUCCUACGGGAGGCAGCAGUGGGGAAUAUUGCGCAAUGGGCGAAAGCCUGACGCAGCCACGCCGCGUGAGCGAUGAAGGCCUUCGGGUCGUAAAGCUCUGUCGGGAGGGACGAAGGGGAAACCCUGACGGUACCUCGCAAGAAAGCAACCGGCUAACUCUGUGCCAGCAGCCGCGGUAAU
rnacentral:rRNA from 1 species